rnacentral:rRNA from 1 species
GUUAUAUGGUCAAGCGAAUAAGCGCACACGGUGGAUGCCUUGGCGGUCAGAGGCGAUGAAGGACGUGGCAGCCUGCGAAAAGUAUCGGGGAGCUGGCAACAAGCUUUGAUCCGGUAAUGUCCGAAUGGGGAAACCCACCCGCUUGCGGGUAUCCUGCAGUGAAUACAUAGCUGCUGGAAGCGAACCUGGUGAACUGAAAUAUCUAAGUAACCAGAGGAAAAGAAAUCAACCGAGAUUCCGUAAGUAGCGACGAGCGAACGCGGACUAGCCCUUAAGCUGGAUUGGUUCUAGGAAAACGCUCUGGAAAGAGCGGCCAUAGAAGGUGAUAGCCCUGUAUCUGAAAGGGCCAUUCCAGUGAAGACGAGUAGGGCGGGGCACGUGAAACCCUGUCUGAACAUGGGGGGACCAUCCUCCAAGGCUAAAUACUACUGACCGACCGAUAGUGAACCAGUACCGUGAGGGAAAGGCGAAAAGAACCCCGGAGAGGGGAGUGAAAUAGAACCUGAAACCGUGUGCGUACAAGCAGUAGGAGCUCCGCAAGGAGUGACUGCGUACCUUUUGUAUAAUGGGUCAGCGACUUACUGUUCGUGGCAAGCUUAACCGUAUAGGGGAGGCGAAGGGAAACCGAGUCUGAUAAGGGCGCAUAGUCGCGGGCAGUAGACCCGAAACCGGGUGAUCUAGUCAUGCCCAGGGUGAAGGUGCGGUAACACGCACUGGAGGCCCGAACCCACUCCCGUUGCAAAGGUAGGGGAUGAGGUGUGAUUAGGAGUGAAAAGCUAAUCGAACCCGGAGAUAGCUGGUUCUCCUCGAAAGCUAUUUAGGUAGCGCCUCAUAUGUAUCCUCUCGGGGGUAGAGCACUGUUAUGGCUAGGGGGUCAUCGCGACUUACCAAACCAUUGCAAACUCCGAAUACCGAGACGGACUGUAUGGGAGACACACGGCGGGUGCUAACGUCCGUCGUGAAAAGGGAAACAACCCAGACCCACAGCUAAGGUCCCAAAUUUUGUGCUAAGUGGAAAACCAUGUGGAAAGGCACAGACAGCCAGGAGGUUGGCUUAGAAGCAGCCACCCUUUAAAGAAAGCGUAAUAGCUCACUGGUCGAGUCGGUCUGCGGGGAAGAUUUAACGGGGCUAAGCACAGAACCGAAGCUUGGGGUGCAUACUUUGUAUGCGCGGUAGAGGAGCGUUCCGUAAGCCGUUGAAGGUGGAUUGAGAAGUCUGCUGGAGGUAUCGGAAGUGCGAAUGCUGACAUGAGUAACGAUAAUGCGGGUGAAAAACCCGCACGCCGAAAGCCCAAGGUUUCCUUGCGCAACGUUAAUCGGCGCAGGGUGAGUCGGCCCCUAAGGCGAGGACGAAAGUCGUAGUCGAUGGGAAGCAGGUUAAUAUUCCUGCACCUCGCGUAAGUGCGAUGGAGGGACGGAGAAGGUUAGGUGUACCAGGCGUUGGUUGUCCUGGGGAAAGGCGGUAGGUUUGGAUCUUUGGCAAAUCCGGGAUCCUUUAAGACCGAGCACCGAGACGAGCCUUUAUGGCGAAGUCACUGAUACCACGCUUCCAGGAAAAGCUCCUAAGCUUCAGCUUACGCAGACCGUACCGUAAACCGACACAGGUGGGUAGGAUGAGAAUUCUCAGGCGCUUGAGAGAACUCGGGUGAAGGAACUAGGCAACAUGGCACCGUAACUUCGGGAGAAGGUGCACCCUUUUUGGUGGCUCGUGCGAGCUAUAGCUGAAGAGGGUCGCAGUAACCAGGCCGCUGCGACUGUUUAUCAAAAACACAGCACUCUGCAAACACGAAAGUGGACGUAUAGGGUGUGACGCCUGCCCGGUGCUGGAAGGUUAAUUGAUGGGGUCAGCCGCAAGGCGAAGCUCUUGAUCGAAGCCCCAGUAAACGGCGGCCGUAACUAUAACGGUCCUAAGGUAGCGAAAUUCCUUGUCGGGUAAGUUCCGACCUGCACGAAUGGCGUAACGACAGCGGCGCUGUCUCCACCCGAGACUCAGUGAAAUUGAAAUCGCUGUGAAGAUGCAGCGUUCCCGUGGCAAGACGGAAAGACCCCGUGAACCUUUACUAUAGCUUUACACUGAACGUUGAGUUCGUCUGUGUAGGAUAGGUGGGAGGCUAUGAAACUGUGGCGCUAGCUGCAGCGGAGCCAUCCUUGAAAUACCACCCUGUCGUGCUUGACGUUCUAACCUGGGCCCAUUAUCUGGGUCGGGGACCGUGUAUGGUGGGUAGUUUGACUGGGGCGGUCUCCUCCUAAAGAGUAACGGAGGAGCUCGAAGGUACGCUCAGCGCGGUCGGACAUCGCGCACUGUGUGCAAAGGCAUAAGCGUGCUUGACUGCAAGAUCGACGGAUCAAGCAGGUAGGAAACUAGGACUUAGUGAUCCGGUGGUUCUGUAUGGAAGGGCCAUCGCUCAACGGAUAAAAGGUACUCCGGGGAUAACAGGCUGAUACCGCCCAAGAGUUCAUAUCGACGGCGGUGUUUGGCACCUCGAUGUCGGCUCAUCACAUCCUGGGGCUGUAGUCGGUCCCAAGGGUAUGGCUGUUCGCCAUUUAAAGUGGUACGCGAGCUGGGUUCAGAACGUCGUGAGACAGUUCGGUCCCUAUCUGCCAUGGGCGUUGGAGAUUUGAGAGGGGCUGCUCCUAGUACGAGAGGACCGGAGUGGACGAACCUCUGGUGUUCCGGUUGUCACGCCAGUGGCAUUGCCGGGUAGCUAUGUUCGGAAGCGAUAACCGCUGAAAGCAUCUAAGCGGGAAGCGCGCCUCAAGAUGAGAUCUCCCGGGGCACAAGCCCCCUGAAGGAACCAUGUAGACUACGUGGUUGAUAGGUCAGGUGUGUAAGUACAGCAAUGUAUUGAGCUAACUGAUACUAAUGAUCCGUGCGGCUUGACCAUAUAACCU